rnacentral:rRNA from 1 species
GAUGAACGCUAGCGAUAGGCUUAACACAUGCAAGUCGAGGGGCAGCACAAGGUAGCUUGCUAUCUGGGUGGCGACCGGCGCACGGGUGCGUAACGCGUAUGCAACUUGCCCUAUACAGGAGGAUAACCCGUCGAAAGACGGACUAAUACUGCGUAUGCUCACAACUUGGCAUCAAGUGGUGAGGAAAGAAAUUCGGUAUAGGAUAGGCAUGCGUCCCAUUAGCUUGUUGGUGAGGUAACGGCUCACCAAGGCAACGAUGGGUAGGGGAACUGAGAGGUUUAUCCCCCACACUGGUACUGAGACACGGACCAGACUCCUACGGGAGGCAGCAGUGAGGAAUAUUGGUCAAUGGGCGCGAGCCUGAACCAGCCAAGUCGCGUGAAGGAUGACUGUCUUAUGGAUUGUAAACUUCUUUUAUACGGGAAUAACAAGAGUCACGUGUGACUCCCUGCAUGUACCGUAUUAAUAAGCAUCGGCUAACUCCGUG